rnacentral:rRNA from 1 species
CCGCGUGUGUGAAGAAGCCUGAGGUGUAAAGCACUUUCAAUAGGAAGGAAUACCUAUCGGUUAAUACCCGGUAGACUGACAUUACCUAUACAAGAAGCACCGGCUAACUCCGUGCCAGCAGCCGCGGUAAUACGGAGGGUGCAAGCGUUAAUCGGAAUUACUGGGCGUAAAGCGUGCGUAGGCGGUUAUUUAAGUCAGAUGUGAAAGCCCUGGGCUUAACCUGGGAACUGCAUUUGAUACUGGAUGACUAGAGUUGAGUAGAGGAGAGUGGAAUUUCAGGUGUAGCGGUGAAAUGCGUAGAGAUCUGAAGGAACACCAGUGGCGAAGGCGGCUCUCUGGACUCAAACUGACGCUGAGGUACGAAAGCGUGGGUAGCAAACAGGAUUAGAUACCCUGGUAGUCCACGCCGUAAACGAUGUCAACUAACCGUUGGGUUCUUUAAGAACUUAGUGGUGGAGCUAACGUAUUAAGUUGACCGCCUGGGGAGUACGGCCGCAAGGCUAAAACUCAAAUGAAUUGACGGGGGCCCGCACAAGCGGUGGAGCAUGUGGUUUAAUUCGAUGCAACGCGAAGAACCUUACCUACCCUUGACAUGUAGCGAAUCCUUUAGAGAUAGAGGAGUGCCUUCGGGAACGCUAACACAGGUGCUGCAUGGCUGUCGUCAGCUCGUGUCGG